ACAAACCAAACCAAAAACAAUAAAUAAACCAAGGCAUGUGCACACCCUGCUCAAUCCACUCUCAUACCCCUGUGCACUUAUUGUAGGCUCGGYGGCAUGGCGCUCACGCGUCAGUAAGCCUUGCCUACGUUUAUAUAUCACAAACUCAGUUAAAGAAUGUAACCUCGCGUUUAACGCAAUAAAUACAACUUUCAGCAACGGAUCUCUUGGCUCUCGCAUCGAUGAAGAACGCAGCGAAAUGCGAUAAGUAAUGUGAAUUGCAGAAUUCAGUGAAUCAUCGAAUCUUUGAACGCACCUUGCGCUCCUUGGUAUUCCGAGGAGCAUGCCUGUUUGAGUGUCAUGGAAUUCUCAACCUCUAACRCUUUGUUGUGAARGAGGCUUGGACUUGGAGGCUGUGUCGGCGCAAGUCGACUCCUCUCAAAUGKAUUAGCGUGAAUCUUACGGAUCGCCUUCAGUGUGAUAAUUAUCUGCGCUGUGGGUGYUGAAGUACAAUAGYGUUCGUGCUUACAACCGUCCRCAAGGACAAUCUAUUGACAAUCUGACCUCAAAUCAGGU
rnacentral:rRNA from 1 species